rnacentral:rRNA from 1 species
UACGAAGGGGGGCUAGCGUUGUUUGGAUUUACUGGGCGUAAAGCGCACGUAGGCGGAUUGGUCAGUUAGAGGUGAAAUCCCGAAGCUCAACUUCGGAACUGCCUUUAAUACUGCCAGUCUAGAGUCCGGAAGAGGUAAGUGGAACUCCUAGUGUAGAGGUGGAAUUCGUAGAUAUUAGGAAGAACACCAGUGGCGAAGGCGGCUUACUGGUCCGGUACUGACGCUGAGGUGCGAAAGCGUGGGGAGCAAACAGG